UUGUGUCAGAAAAUGUGAAAGCUGGCUAAAUUGUAGAGGCUAUAUUCAGGUGAAGUCUAUAGGAUGGGCCUAACUUUGAGCUCAUGAACAGCUGCAUUCACUCAGGUGAGACUGCUCAAUUGCUCAGAGACAUGUGUGUGAAUAAGGUACUUCACCAAAUCAAGGCCAUUGUGCAAGAAGAAUGCAGUGUCAGUGUAUAACAACCGUGCUCCCCAGGAAGGAACUUUUUUUUAUGUGAAAAAGAAGUGUUACUACAGAGGCUGCGUAUGAUAGGGCUGUGCUGUGUUCUUUGUUUCAACCCACUAGGAGAACAUCGGUGGAAAAUAGUUUAUGCCCAAUGUCUCAGAAGUACUGGAUCAAGUUCAGCCUCUGAGGACAGGCCUGACAUGAAUACCAAGUAAUGACUGAUGAGCAAGAGAAGGCUUCAAUGACUGCUCAGAUCAGUUGCCCUGGUGCUUUAAUCUGGGAUCAGCACAUGAAGAGCUGUAUUUGAAUGUGAGCUAUGUUUCUGUAGAGCUCUAGAAUUUAUUGUGUGGUCUAUACUCCACUGGCCGGGGAAAAAAAAAAUUCAUAUCCUGAGUUUCAGUGGUCUUCGACAUGGCCACAGCCUAUAUUCCAGACUACUUUGUCAGCUGUAUACUGAACAUCUUAACAUACUCCUGAGAUGUCCUUGAAAUAAAAGCCACAUCAUAA